rnacentral:rRNA from 1 species
ACCUCCCACCCGUGUUUAUUUUACCUUGUUGCUUCGGCGGGCCCGCCUUAACUGGCCGCCGGGGGGCUUACGCCCCCGGGCCCGCGCCCGCCGAAGACACCCUCGAACUCUGUCUGAAGAUUGAAGUCUGAGUGAAAAUAUAAAUUAUUUAAAACUUUCAACAACGGAUCUCUUGGUUCCGGCAUCGAUGAAGAACGCAGCGAAAUGCGAUACGUAAUGUGAAUUGCAAAUUCAGUGAAUCAUCGAGUCUUUGAACGCACAUUGCGCCCCCUGGUAUUCCGGGGGGCAUGCCUGUCCGAGCGUCAUUGCUGCCCUCAAGCCCGGCUUGUGUGUUGGGCCCCGUCCCCCGAUCUCCGGGGGACGGGCCCGAAAGGCAGCGGCGGCACCGCGUCCGGUCCUCGAGCGUAUGGGGCUUUGUCACCCGCUCUGUAGGCCCGGCCGGCGCUUGCCGAUCAACCCAAAUUUUUAUCCAGGUUGACCUCGGAUCAGGUAGGGAUACCCGCUGAACUUAAGCAUAUCAAUAAGAGGAGGA